GGCUACAAACCUCCUGAUGAAGGACCUUCUGAGUACCAGACUAUUCCACUUAAUAAAAUAGAAGAUUUUGGUGUACACUGCAAACAAUAUUAUGCCUUAGAAGUCUCAUAUUUCAAAUCCUCUUUGGAUCGCAAAUUGCUUGAGCUGUUGUGGAAUAAAUACUGGGUGAAUACGUUGAGUUCUUCUAGCUUGCUUACUAAAGUUGGAAAUAAUACCUAAACCUACUUCUUGACAUGGUGUCAAAACAGAGCUUUUGCUGAGAGUUUGAUUUAUAAAGAAAUUAUGGUUCGACUGACCUUGGAUCUAAUUGCCAGAAACAGCAAUCUUAAACCCCGAAAAGAAGAAACCAUUUCACAGUGCCUGAAGAAAAUAACUCAUAUAAAUUUUUCAGACAAAAAUAUAGAUGCAAUUGUAUCUGGGAGGCAAUUACAUUGCUGUCAUAGAAGGUUUAGAAGGAUUAGGAGAACUAAGAGAGCUUCAUGUUGAGAAUCAGAGGCUUCCCCUUGGGGAAAAGCUUCUGUUUGAUCCAAGAACUCUUCAUUCUCUGGCAGUAAGUUCACAUUUGAAUAUUUUGACAAGGAAUAUAGUGAUUAACAAGUUAUAAUGAAAC
rnacentral:lncRNA from 1 species